CCGAUUAAUAAUGUAUGUGACGCACGGUGUCUAAAAUAGGGGUUACCUGCGUGCUCUGCAGUUGGGUUCCUGAACA